rnacentral:lncRNA from 1 species
AUGGGUUUGAUCCCUGGCCUCACUCAGUGGGUUAAGGGUCCAGCAUUGCAGCAAGCUGUGGUUUAGGUGGCAGCUGCAGCUCUGAUUUGACCCCUGGCCCAGGAACUUCCAUAUGUCACAGGUGUAGCCGAUUGUAACCAGAGUAUAAGUCAUAUCCCCCUCAGCUGACCCAGAAGCCCACCCUGCCUUCUCACCUCACCUCACUCCUCUCUUCCAUCAGCCAUCUUUGCUGUCUCAUCACCUGAGGCAGGCCGAGCCCACCUCCCUGUCUUGUCAUCAUGACCAUCAGGAGCACGUAUGGAUGUCGCAGAAGCACGUGGGGAAGGCUGAGGCUCCAUUUCCUCAUCCAUAAAAGGGGGUGAUACCUCCCUCCCUGAGUUACUGUGAGGCUUAGACAGAAAAUGUGUGGGGCACCUGGGCCACUGGGCUUAGGUGUUACUGCAGCAGAGGCAUUCCAGAAGCUCCCAGCUGGUCCAGCCAUCUCUAUCAUCCACAGUAGACCUGAGCUCACCAUCUGUCUUUGAUAACCAUUCCACCAGGUCUUCCAGCACCUGAAGGAAGUACCAUGAUGGGAGUCACAGGGCAGGGGAGGUGAAUAUUGAGCCUCCCACACCCUGACCUGCGAAGAUGGUUUAGAGGCAUUUCCAAAGAGCAGGACCAUUGGGUUGGAGAGCUCCCAGGCAUUUCCUGAGACUCUUCUCCUUGGCCUUUUUCCCGACCAGAAGGAUUCUUCAAUUUCAAAAUCAAAGUAAAAUAAAAUCUCUGGCAAAACACCAGAAUAGAGCUGAGCAUCUCUGUCAGCAAAUUUUGCUUCCCCAAGAACUAUCUCCACAGGCAGAAACACAGGUGGUCCGUAAAGAGCAGACAGAUGUGGGGCACAGGAGUCCUGCCUCAGCCUAGACCAUCCCCAGAGGUGCAUAGAGUGGUGUCUGGUCCCCAGGGCAUAGCCUUCCGAGCACAAGUUGGGGGAGAGGCCAUAAGGGGCAUUCUUCCAGAAGAACUACAAGAUUUCGCUCAUUUAUAUUGGGAAAAACUUUAGGAAUGAAGGUAGGAGUGGAUUCUAGGAAAUUCAAUAAGGAGGAUGGUACGGAUUCUGAAUGUAAUGUUCACUCAAGCAGCCAGACGUGGCUCCAAGAGGUGGCUUCGUCGGUUGGCUGAAAGUUGGACUCAGUGGUUCUACAUUCAGUGAGGUUCUACCCUGGCAUGAAGGUUGCUGUUGGGGGCAUUUAUCAUGGGUGCCCUGCACACCCACUUGCUCACCUUGUCCCCAGAGCAGACUCGGAGGACACCCCCUCUGCUAAGCACUCUGAGAAAGGUGUUAGUGAGGGGCACCAGCCCCUCUGAAGAGCUCCAUGGUGGCUGAGCUCUGUAGCGUGGGCACGCCGGGGGCUACAGCUGUUGAAUGGGCUCUCCCGUUUGGGCAGGGAUGAUGGGCUCACUGCACAGAGAAGACAGGAACAGCGAUGUUAUCAAACCAAAACUUGGCUCCCCUCACCUGUGUGUGGUAAAGCCUGUCUCCUGACACCUGCUUUGGUAAAGGAGUGUGCAGCGUUUAGGACAGGGUACCAUGCAAGGAGUCUGGGACAGUUAAUGUUCAGAAAGCCCAAACUCUCCAAGGGGCUUCAGCAAAGAAUUUUUUUUUCCUUUUUUUAAAGUGAAGUAUAGUCGAUUGACAAGGUUGUGAUGAUUUCUUCUGUACAACAAAGAGAUUCAGUUAUACAUGUACACAUCCAUUCUCUUUCAGAUUCUUUUCCCAUACAUAUUAUCACAGAAUACUGGGUGGUGGUCCCUAUGCUGUGGACCAGGUUCCUGUUGGCCAGUCAUUCCAUAUACCUCAGUGUGCAUAUGCCAGUCUCAAACCCCCAGUCCGUCCCUUCCUCCCCGCCCCCACCUGUCCCCUUUGGUACCAUAAGUUUUUCAGUCUAUGAGUCUGUUUCUCUUCUGCAAAUAGGUUCAUUUGUGUCCCUUUUUUUUAGAUUCCACAUGCAAGUGAUAUCAUAAGAUGUCUUUCACCAUCUGACUAACUUCACAUGGUAUGAUAAUUUCUAGGUCCAUCCAUGUUGACGCAAAUGGCAUUAUUUCAUUCUUUUCAUGGCUGAGUAGUAUUCCAUUGUAUAUGUGUACCACAUCUUCUUUAUCCAUUGCUAUGUCGAUGGACAUUUGGGUUGCUUCCAUGUCUUGUCAGCAAAGCAUUUUUAAAGGCAGGGCAAGCGAAGGCAAUCGCUUAUACACAAUUUACUGAUUGAUAGUAAGUUAAAGUAAAGGUAAGGGAGUUUCCUUCGUGGCUCAGCAGUUAACAAACCUGACUAGGAUCCAUGAGGAUGUGGGUUCCAUCUGUGCCCUUUCUCAGUGGAUUAAGGACCUGGUAUUGCCGUGAGCUGUGGUGUAGGUCACAGAUGUGGCUCAGAUCCCAAAUUGCUAUGGCUAUGGUGUAGGCCGGCAGCUGUAGCUCUGAUUCAGCCCCUAGCCUGGGACUCUCCACAUGCUUCCGGUGUGGUCCUAAAAAGCAAAAAAA